CUAGGGGCGGGACAGCGUCUAAUACCGACUCUAAUACUGCCUAAUAAAUAUUAAUGUCCUAAUCUUCACCGUUCACUGGACCAUUUUUGGGCUAGUGUGUCAUGACUUUUCAUGCAACAACCAACGCAACCAACUGUCACGAAGACGCGAGGUGAAAAAAUGAGUUGUAUGAAGCAAUCUGAUCUUCAACCUACAUCGCCGGGAUAGUGGCCUGGAACCAAUGGAUGUAGUCAGAGAAAUCAAAUAAUGCGGGUCCGGGAUGAACAUCUUUUUAUUUCCACCAACAGGAUGUUCAAUAAAUAUAAAACGGAGCGUA